GCUAUUGGCACCGUUGUAGUACUUUCUUGAAGGCUUGUUUCACCAAAGUUUUGUUGCUGCUCCUCAUAAGCAUUGUUGUUGUAGUGGUUAUUGGUGGUGGUGGUGGUGGUGGAGUCAGUUGGAUAAUUGGUGUAGGUUUCUUGGGUUUGGGUCUGGGUUUUGUAUGGCUGGUAAGUGGUUGUGGUGUAGGGUGCAUUUGUUAGUUUAGUAGUGGUGGGGAACUGGGAGGAUUCUUGACCAUAUAGACCAUAGCCAUUUUGGGUGUCUGGGAUAAAGGCUGGAUCUAGUUCUUGCUUGUUAAAGCUUUCUUCUUCUUUGUUGGGGAGUGUUUUAUCUUGAACAUUAUUGUUGUUGAUGGUGGUAGUGGAGGGAGUAGCGGUGGUGGCACCGACUUUGCUAAAGAACUGGCUCUCUCUAGCAUGAAUUUGCUUAGAAAAAAUGGUUAAGAGAAAGAGAAAGGAAAUGAGUCUUGGAGAGGGAGCCAUGGCUAAAGACGGGAUAGUGUUGCUGUGUAUCACUAGCCUAUAGUGGAGCUGGGAGGGUUUGUGAAGGUGCGAUCUUUAUAUAGAAAGCCUUUCAAUCACUCUCUCCGAUUUUUUUUCCACAGCAUUUUCAACUCUUUAGGUGCAAAUGGAGGGAAUUGGUGAUGACUGUGGUCCCUGCAUGGGAAGAAACUUUAACAAAAGAACUCCUUUUCUUUUUCUUUCUUUUUAUUUGAUUUAUGUAUAUCUCUUGUUAAUCGUGCUUAUUUUUCUUUUAGUGAUGUAUUUCUUUAGUGUUUGAUUUUUCUUCUUUCAUAAUUAAUGAAUGCCAUCAUGGAAGAGCACCAAAACUAUGAGUUUUAAUUUCAUUUCCCUAAACAUCAGCCGAAACAAUAACCAAUACUUAUUCAUGCUAACUCUCCAUAAAUCAUUCUUAUCUUCUAAGCAAACCAAGCUAGAUUGAGGAUUAUGACACAAGAUUAUACUGAGGUAAUUAAUGAUGGGCUCUAAGUUAUAAGGAAUCCAGGGUUUAUCUCAAGGAAAUUUCUUCUUUGACGGGGAGAAGGGGUCACUGGCAGCAGAUUAUUCAAGCAGUAAAAAUGUGAAAUCAAUAAAGUGGCCUUCUUUAUUAAAGAUCAUGUCCUUUCUUUAAUAUGUGAGGGGCGAUUUGGCUAUUUCAAAGAUGAAAGAAGGAUAUGAUAAUAUGCUAAGCUAUGGCCGGGCAAUUAUGCCGUAGAUUGUGGUGGGUGGGGCAAAGCAAAUAAUGCCAUUUAGUGCAGACAGCAUGUGCCCUCUUCCCUUUGUUUAAUUUGAUCAUAUACGCACCAAACCCUUUUACUACGCGGAUUGACACCACCAUUCAUGCUCUUCUUUUUUUUGGCAUGCGCUCUUCCAAGAGCAGCUUUAUUAAAGAAGUUUGCUGUCCAUAUAUAUAUGGGAUAGGAAAAGGGUUUUAUGUAUAUAUGCUUAAAAUUAAUGUGUAAGAUUUUCUUUAAUCGAACACAAAAUCACGAAGGACAGUUAGAAUUUAUCGCUUGUUAGGUGGAUACUUCUGAAAUACUCAUCCGUUGGAUUGAUAGAUUUUAUUAUCCAGAUUGAAGAUCACAUGCAAGAUAAGGGUGUUAUUUAUGACUAAACAACUUCUUAAUUAGUAAUCAACUAACAAUUCAAUUAGAGAGAGCCCCCCUACUGUGGGGGUUGAGGCAGGGUCAGGAUGGUAGAAUUUGGGACUUGUAUUUGCUGCUACACGCAAUCAUUUAUACAUAAAAUUGUUACCAACCAGGGCAACUUUUCUGACUAAAUUUACUAAUGGAAAGGCUUGUUUUAUAUCUAUGUCUACCGGCUAAUCCUACUUGGUAGUUGUUUCUGUAAUUGCGACACGGAUAUUUGGUGAGAUAGGGUCCAAGUUUGUUUAUUACACAUAACGAACAUAACCAAACAGGAUUGCUAUUAUUAAUGAAUGUUUAUGUCUCUCUGGUGUAGCUCUCAUGAGUGCUCUGUUUUUCUUCUAACAAAAAACAAUGUUUCAUGUCCUGGAGAUGAUGUAUACCAUUUUUUGUAACAAGUUAAGAAAUUGCAAACCAUUUUUUGUAACUAUUAGACUCUCCUAUAUUUUAUGUCUUCGUGUCACUAAUUCAUGGAAUCCAGAAUUUAACUGUAACCAUAACUCAAGGAAAAGGGAAAACGAUAGGAAAGCCACCUUGUCCCUUCAAAGCUUGGAAUAUGAAUAGCAACUGUUUAAAGGGACAAAAAGGUAAAGGCAAAGAAAUUUCCAUUGUUCGUGCAUUUGUCAAGUAGCUGCUAAAUGUUUUCCCUUCCUGGAGGGGUGGAGGAGAAAGGAACAUACAAGUUUCAUUCACCACAAGUACUGGUAUCCAUCGAGAUCAUAACAAUAUGUAGAUGAACUGCCCCCCAAUUCUCACUUGUCAACGUUGGUGGUUUGACCACUCAAUUAAAGGAAAAAAGAGUUCUGGUUUUUGCCUUUUCUUCUUUUUCUUUUUUUAAGUGUUUUUUCUUCCUUGAUUAGCGGAGGGAGGGAGCUUGUCAAAGUGGGUACUGGCAUUGGCAAUUCGGGAGGAAAAAAGAGAAGUAUUCCACAGUAUAUUAUUUUCCUUUGAUUUUUAACUAUUGCCAAUCCAUUCCACUCUGAAGCACAUUUGAAUCUCAAAUUUUGCGCUAAAUUGAGAGUUGACUGGUAUUAUAAUUAUAAACAAAUCUAUAAUACUAUAAUAGAUCCAACAAUAAACUCAUCCCAUUAGGCUUAGGGUACCGUUUACUGUGUGACCUAGCUUCAAGCAAUGCAAGAAAAAAACACAUCGUAGCCUCUUUGGGCCUUCAUAAUUGUCCAAUUUGUUUGAUUUUUGUGGGUACAGUUUAGUGGUCUCAGUAUUUCUUGCUCACAUUUGAUGCUUCUCCAUCAUCUUUUAGUGGAUGGAAUCGAUGGAUACCACAACUUCUUGUCCUUCCAUUUGCCAGGGCAUUCCAACUUAUACGAUACGUAUGCAGGUCACAAAUAGGAGAAACAAUCGGAAUUCAAGUACCAAAAGUCAAAAUGAUAACAAAUUCAAAAUUAAUGCCGAAAUUAGUGAAAGAUGGCUUGCACAUGCGUGCUACAAUCCCGCAAGACAUUUCUCAAGAAUCAAGAUCAGGAAAUGGGUUCCACAGCAUAAGUGAAAACAGUAAAAGAUUGGGAACUAAAAUAGGAAUGAAAGGGUUAACGUUACUAACAAGUUUUUUCCUUCUAAGCCUCUUUCUAACAUACUCUCUUCUUUGUUCAUCGCCCCACUGUGCUUCCUCUAAUCCCUUUGCAAGAAUUAAUGGUGGAGGCUGUUGGUAUGGGCACUUGGACCUCCACGAAGUUUCAGGACAUCCUAAUCUGGAGGCUCUUUUGAGAAAGAGAGAGAAUCCCCACCUUAGAAGGAGAGAAGGGAAAGUCUUGGUGUCUUUGGAGCAGAGGAUGGGUGGAUAGUCCCAUUUGAGAUAGCAUGGGAUUUGUGUAGAUAUGAAGAACUGAGAGUAGAGAGGUGGUGUGGUUGUGGGGCUGGUUAGAAGAUGGGUUAGGGCUUGAAGUCUCUGCUCCCAUGUCGUGUCUUCCAUUGCUUCAUUGACCACACUCUUGAGGAUGAGGCUGAGAUUUGGAUAAGAAGUGCCAAGGGAACAAAUGCUUGACACUAUUUACCAUGGAGGUAGGCCCGCCAAACGCUAUGCAUAAUGGCCUUUUGGUAAGAAUUUCGCAGUUCGGCGUGGUGUGUUUCAUGUUAUUGCCAAUAACUUAUUGGAGCACAAACGCUGCCUUUUGCACAACGAUUAAGCAGAUGCCUAAUAUAAAGAGUGCCAUUACUCCUGAAAUAACUUGGAUUGAAAAUAAAGCAACUAAAGGAAGAACAUCACGUCUGCCAUAUCAAGAACAUGUGGAUUUAAGAAAGGAGGUAAUCAAAAGGCAUAUUUUAAUCAACACAGUAUGCAAUGAAGCAAAUUAGCCUUUGUUAUGAUUCCUAUACAUUAAGCUAUCUACCAACGAAAAUGCAGCUUAGUGCGAGGAGCGACAAUGGACAUCGUAACACACGGUUUGGCCAUGAAGUGCCAAAUCAUUCCCAUCCUUGAAUUCCUUUAUCCAAUGGACCAGUUUACAUUCCAUAUUUAUAUAAAAUCAGUGAGAAUUCUGCUGUCCAGUGUACAAUGACAAAAUUUUGGGAGUUUAAUCACAAGAACCCAGAAAAACGGGGGAAAGGAUCAUAAAGGAAGCAUGUUUAGGCUAUCAUGCAACGAGUAUGAAGCAACAACUCCAUCUCCCAUGUUGCCACUAUAUACAGAUGACAUGGUACAGCAAUAUUGAUUCGGGCAUGAGAAUCAGUAGUGAAUCUGGAAACAAAACUCCAGCAUGAUCCAAGAAGAAGAUGAAACAACAGCACUGGCACAGAGCAAACUGUUUCUCUCUUGCUUACUACAACUAGUAAGAAAAGAACAGGAAAAAUGAUGCUCAGUGAGUGUCCUUGGCUUCCUGUUAAUAGAAUAGGCUGUGAAACUUCUCUCUUGAGGAAACUUCUCUCGACUAGCACAGCUGUGAUGAGAGCAAUAUCCAAGCACUCAAUACAGGGAAGAUGAUUAAAGCAGAAGCCUGUGAUUUCAUAAAUUUCAUAGAAAUGUUUGAUUCCAUUAGAAAGAGCUAAAUAAUUGAUGCAGAGUCGUAUACUGCUGUUUUUAUUAAAUAUAAAAGAGACUUUGGGAACUGGAUAGGCACUCAUACCACGAAAAAUACUAUUUCCUGGUUAGCAAGACAGGCUGUGAACUCAUGUCUUUCCAUUUCCUGUUUGACGAAAACUUGCAACUACAAAUAGUGAAAUGACAAGGGUUAAUUUUUCAUCACAAUCACAAUGGUAUUUUGGCCAAUGUGCAGAUGAUGCAACAGUUACCAUAUUCUACUUAAGCUCAAAGAAAGAAACCCCAAAUAAACAGAUAGAUCAUAUCAACAGAUGUUGAGUAGUAAAGUUCUUAACAUUCAUGAUUCAGUAGACUGAGAGCUUGUAUAAAAACAGAGAACUGCAAUCUAUCACAAGUCACGACCUUAUUCUCAAUCAUUUUGUGGUUGAGAGAACCAGUAUCUAAUGGCUGAAUUGUUUUGUGUCAAAUUCAAUUUGAUCAGCUCUCUAACUUGUCAUUAACAACAAAUUUUGACCAACGAAAAACUUUAAACUGUACAGCAUCUAGCAAAAGAAUGACCAACGAGAGAUUCAUUACAGAGAAAACAAGGGGGGGAAAAUGUUGUACAGAAUCAAGAAAGCACGUAGGUUAGUACAAACCUCAUGGUGGGACUCUUUUACUGUUGAAUAGAAUCUUUUUAGCCAGGAGAAGGUUUGAGAUACGUAAGCUCUCAAGGCAGACUCUUCACUGAAAUGUGAACUCAACAGCCCAUGAGCAUUUGGAAGAUAUUCACCAGAAAGGUAACUGAAAAACUGUAAAUCACCACAAAGGAAUAAAUUUGGUCAAAGCCUACAUCUGUGAUAAUAUAUCGGGCAAAAGAGACAUAUUAGUCUUUAAGUAAGCAUUACCAUCGUUCAUAAUGUGGGAAUUAUUAAAACUUCAUUUUUUUUAUAAACACCUAUCAACAUAUAUAAAGAUCAAGACAGAGCAGAAAUAUCUUGACGUUACCUUUAAAAAAGUCCAUCUUGGAGGCCUUGCUUGUCUUUGAGCCUUCAAUCUUAUCUGUUAAAAGAGAAUGGGAACAUUAUAAUAGACUCAUUCAGCCAUCAAGGCGUAGCAAAAAACAAUGUUUAAUUUUAGAAAUCCUUAUGAGCAGUUGGUCCAAAUUGUAUUGUGAGAAAAUACUUCUUUAAGUUGAAGAGCCUGCUCAAACUGUUGAAUUUGGAUCCACCGUUCUGAUACUAUGUCUUCCAUCUGUAGGGAACAAAAACAAAUAAACCAACAACUAAUUUUUAUACUUAACAAAAGUUGGAUGCUUGUAUAUGAUGAGAUUACAACUAUGCUAUAUUGGAAAAGGAGAGGGGGAGUUUAAUACUUUACUAAACAUAAUCAUAAUAAUAAGAGAAAUAUGUUUUCCAAAAGAAAAGACUAAUUAUUAAAUUCAACCCCCCCCCCCCCAAAAAAAAAAAAAAUUGAUUCCACUCUAUUUUCCAGCACAGACAAUUUCCCCUAACCUCUCAAACUGCAGAUUUCAAAGUACCAAGCAAAUGACAAGUGACUAAAAAACAAAGCCAUAUUCUGCAUAUAUGCUUCUGAAGGCUCACUCUACAAACUACUUUAGUUCCUUGAUAUCCCUUUUCACUUCCACGGAAUAUUGCCUCAUUAGAUUUCCAACAACACAAUCUUCACCAUGAAUAACACAAUAAACUUGCAAAUAAGAAGAUUGAACAAAACACAAGAUAACACAGCUCUUUUUUUCCCCGGCUGUUUAUUCAAGGAAACAUAAAAAAUGUUUUAUGCAGACAAUAUCUAAAAUUAGUUCUCAAAUCUCCAAAUGCCCGACAAUAACAUCCACAACCACUCGAAUAAAUAAAUAAAAGCAUACUAGUUAAGAGAUUGACCUUCUGAACUUGCGAAGUUACCAUUUGCAAUCUAUCCUCAGCUUCCCGGGCUUUCGAUUCUAAAACAUGAAUAUCAAAAUUGUUCUUUCUCAAAGUAGCCCACAAAACCCUAACCUGUCAUUCAAGACAUUAUCAACAACCUACUACUAUUCACAUAACCAGUUAAUAAUUAUAUUAAUCACCUCUUCUUCUAGGUCUUUAAUCUUGUCAUCAGCAACCUACAAAUAAAAAAGAAACAUUCAUUAGAGGUUCAAUCCCAAAUGAACUAACCACGUGAUAAUGUAAUUCAAGAAACCAACCAGCCAACCUUUAAAUGUGAGAAAACAGAUUGCAGAUGGUUUAAUUUGUGGUCUAGUUCUCCAAUUAGAUUCUCACAUCUCUCCAAAUAACGGUCUCUGUCGUUUAUAUUUUGAGUGAUUUCCUCAAGACGAGAUUCUGCAUUUACAUUGAUUAAUUAGGCAAUCAACCAAUCAAAAUUCUGAAACGAAACCUCUUGGUUUGGUUACCUGAUUGAGUGAUUCUCAGCUUGGCCUCGUAGAGCUGGUUUUGGUGAUCUUGAGAUGAGAGACCCAGCACAGCUGACAAAAUGGCUGGAAAUACAAAGGGUAGUAGAUAAUAAUAAUAAUAAACAGCUUCCAUUUUUGCGUCUCCAGCCCCCCCUCCUCUUCUGCUUUUACCGUGUCAUCUACACUACGCUACAUGUCCCGUCUAUUUUGGAACUAGAAAGGAAGAGAGACGAGAUUCGCAUUAUUUUGUUUUUGCUUUUUAGUCAAUUUUUAAGAUUGUUUUUUAAUUAAAAAUAUAUUAAAAUAAUAUUAUUUUUUUAAUUAAUAUGCUUAUAUUAAAAUCAUCGAAAAACUUAAAUUUCAAAUAAAAAAAUUAAAAAACAUUUUAAAAAGCACCACAAAAACAAAUAUUUUUUUAAUCAUUAAAUAAAUGGCCUACAUUAUGUAGAUGAUUUUGCCACAAAUUUUUUUGACAUAAAAAAGAUUAGAAAUUUUUGUGACUUAGAUUAUAGAUCCCAAUGGGAUCUAAUAAGAUGACUUUAUGUAAUUAUAUGAUAUGAAAAAUCACAACAAUAAAUAUACUGAAAUAAAAAAUAAAAAACAAUCAUGAUGACCAUAUAAAAAGAGUAUUUUUCAAAAGAAAACAAAUCACAAACCUCAAUUCUUAUACAAUCCAAUAUUGAAUGAUGAAAUUAAAAAUAAAAUAAAAAAAUAAAAAAAAUGAUUUAGAUCAAUCAAAGUUAGCAUACAAAACUUGCAACUUGAGUUCUAAGACCAUAAUAAUACCAUGGAAAGAAAAUCAAAAGAAUUACAAUGCUAAAUUUCCAACAAUUCAAAUAUAGAAAGAUAAUAUAAAAAAAACUCAAUUAACAAAAAGGAUAAGAAAAAUCAGAAACCCUACAAGCCGGAUCAUGCGAACAAAAUAACCUAAUAGAAUGCGAAACAAGAAAAAUCAUGAAGCUCAAUUCGUAAACUAACCCAAUAUUAAAGGAUAAACCAAAAAAAUAUUCAAUUUGAAAAAGACUUCAGUCAUCCAAGCUAACUCACCAAACUUAUGAUCUAGGUUAUAAGACCAAGAUAACCCCUUAAAAAGAAAAGUGAAGAAAAUCACGAAGCUUAAUUUCCAACAAACCCAAAAUUAAAUGAUGAAAUUAAAAAAAUAAGUGAAAAAAAAAUCUAAAAAAACCCGAUAUCAACCCUAGAGACACAUAGGUUUCAAAAAAAGAUCUAUUUUUCUGUAUGUCAUUUUAUCUUAUUUCUUUGAGAAACUGGAGUUGUUUACGUACACUUAAGGGUGUAUGCAUUGGAGCUAGUUGUUGUGUCACUCAUCGAGGGAGUUGCUCAAAGAUGUUAUUAUGUAGCUAGAAUAGCUUUAGUAAAUACUUUAAUUUGAUGGGUGAUUUUUUAAAGAUUAAAUAAAAUUUUAUAUACUUGUGGUAAAGAGGUUGAUUAAUCUUCAAUAUCUUUGUAUUUCUAAGUCAUCAACCAUGGAGAAGAAAUUUAGAUGAUAUAUGAAAUGAGAAUGAACUAGUUUUUAUUCAGUUCAUCAUAGACGAUUUCACUAAUAAAGUUGUAAAAACUUUAAAUUAGAUUUGAACUUCCCACAACUUCUUGAUGGGAUGAUGUGCUUGGGCUUGGCUAUUUCAUGCUUUCUUGUAAAAACAAAUCCCCAGUUAGGAUACAUGGGCCUUCAAUUCUUAAUUAACAACUUAUAUAAGUGAAAUAAGUUAUAAUAGAAAGAACAAGAAUGAAAAAUACAAUAAGGUGUAUGUUAUGUUGUUAUGUGACUUGUUCUAUUAUUUUGUUGUUAUCUUGUGACAUAAGGUAUUUAUAUAUCUUGAUCACAUAAAAUUACUCCGUGAAGCAUGAAAUUAUAGUCAUAAUGUAUAGGUUAAUCAUGGAGAAUAAUUAUUUUUACUACACAAGUAACCUAUAAAAUGAGUUAUUAUGUGUAGGUAGCAUACUAGAUAAGUUAGUAAAUGUACUUACCAUUGGAUGUACUUACCAUUGGGGUAGCCCUUUGGAAUAACAAUUUUAUCUAAACCCGAUGGAUAUUCACUCUAGCCGAUCCAAAUAAAUAGGAGAUUUUUUUACCCGAUCGGAUUCAAAUAAAAUUUAAAGGUAAAAAUUCAGGUUAUGGAUUGGGUAAGAAUAUUUCUCUAUCUUAACCAAAAUUAGACUUGAAUCUGAUCCAAAAUGCAUUAAUAGUUUGAAAAAAUUAUUUUUAUAUCAAGCUAUAUAUAUAGAAACUUGGACGUUAAUUUCCUCAAUAAAAAAAAAUGCCUCUCCCUAUUUGAAAACCUUAGUAACCCAUAAAAAUCCAUUAUUUCUAUUAAAGAAGCCCACAAAAAUUCAAUAUUUUUAUCAAGAACUCCAUUAAAACCUAACCUUAAAAAAAAUGAAAACAUGAAUAACCCAAAUGAUGACUAGCACAGGAAAAACCAUCCAUACCAAGACCUCGACAAUGUUCCAACUCAAAACCUUUACAAGCUUCCAACAUCCCUUUACAUCCCCAUAAUUUCUCCUUUAUGAAAAGUCUUUACACCAACGUAAUUCUAGAAGUGAGAAUCUUCAAUACUACAUAGGCACAAGUUACUUAGCUAGAGUUGUGUUAGGUAGUGCUAAAGAUUUUAUUGAAAGAAUUUGUGUUACGGAGCCUAGAGAGGCAUUAAAAUUAAGGGUUAAUUGUGUUUUGAAUUUUGUUAGUUAUACGGGUAAUUUGUUUUAAAACAAUUUGGGUGUUUGGGGGUUGAUGUUUGCAGCGAUUGAGAGUAGUUUAAUUCAUUAGGGAACUAUUGAUGAAUUGAUCUUAGUAUAGUAGUUGGGUUAGGGAUAUUCGAUGAAUACUCAACACCUGAUCAAGUUUAGAUUCAAGUAUCAAAAUAUUUAUACUCCAGUUUUGAGUUGGAUAUGAAUAGUUACAAAUCUAGUAUAUAGAUACUCAUUCUAUCCCUAAUAAUCAUUGGUAAGACAUCUAAGUGUAUGACGGCCAAUAACAAGAAGAUUCACAUCUAUAAUUCAUGUGUUUCUAAAUAGAAGUUUGUGUAAGAUAUAGCGGAGAAAUAAGCGUAAGAAGUUCUACUAAUCAUAGUUUUAAAAUUUAACCUGCCUGGCGGGUCAAUCCAAGCCAAGUUUAAAAAAAAUAAGAUAAGUUAAAAAUCUGGAUGACCCGACGGGUUGACCCGAUAACCCGGUCCAAAACCCGAUUACAAUUUGUUGAAUUUUUUUAAAACAAAAUAAUAUCAUUUCUAUUUAUAAAAAAAUUAGAGUUGAUUUGAGUGACCGAUCAAAACUUGAAUCGGGUUUCAAAACUCUGCUACUAAGCACACAAUGAAGGAAAAAUUAUUAGAACUUUUAAAUGUAAAUGACGACGGAUGCAAGCCCUGGGUCGACUGAUGGGGCAAACAAUAACCGACAGCUACCUAUUUGUAUGGGCCUUGGCUGUCCGCUAUGACAACCCUGGCCAUUUGGGUAUUGGUCGAAGUGGAUAGCUCGGUGGUCUGCUAGGACAACCUUGUCCACUAAAUUAUGGGUUUUGUCUUAACGACAAACCCACGUGUUAUUCGGGCCUCAACCCAACAAUUAACUACUCUGGGAUCGAUUUCCAAUUCUACGCGGAUUCCACCGACACACCACAACGCCAUUUUUUAGAAUAAUAACUUUGACUUUGAUGCAGUACAAAACAUGUUUCUCACAUAUAGUUUUAUAGUGGUACGUAUCUGAAACAUAAUUUUCCAUGAACAUACGAUAUUCCUCUCAACUUCACGACAAAAUUUGUCCGAAAGCCAAGCUCCUCGUAGAGGUUUAUUGGGUUAUUAUUGCACUUCGAAUCAAACAUAAGAGUUUUCUUUCUAUGUGCAGUCAGUAUAGUUGCCGGAAAUGUGUGGGAAGAUGAGGUAUCUAAAUUGAAAGCCAAAGUGGUUUCGUCCUCCGGCAGUAAAAGUACUGGCUUAGAUCAAGGCAUGAGAACUGUUGCCGCCAGGUCAUUGGGAUAACCACAGGAAAUGUACCUUCUACAGAGAACUUCAAAGUUUUGAUUAGAAUGGACAUCUGCAGGGUUCGAUUCCCCAAGUCUUCUCCGCAUAUUCUUCAAUUGUUCUAUCACUGCUAAAUCUUCCAGACCCAGCAGUGCUAAGGAUGCUCAUCCGAGUCCACUUCUCUUGAUCAACAAAUGCUUUAUCAGCAGCAGCCUGCAGUUGAAUAGUGUAAGCAUGGGAUUCUUGGAACCGUUUCAAGUAGUAGAGCACCAAAAUGCUUGACUUUUGGGAAUUUCAAUAGAACAAAAGAUUACCUGUGCCUCUAGAUAGCUCUGGAAGUCGUAACCAAGAAGGUAAAAGUCAUUGCCACCCUCCACCUUGUCACAUAAGGAUUCAAAAUAGUCUUGGAAGCCAAAAUAGCCAUCUCGAACCAUCCUACAUGCAAUAGUAUGAUAAAAAUCAAAUUACCAAAAAAUCUGUCACUAUCCAAAGAAGUGUCUUGCUCAGCAUACAAAACACAACCUGCGUCAGAAACACCGAAAAAUUGAUGUCCAAAGCAUUUACCUGGUUUGCUGGAAAUGAUUUUGAAAGGCAAGUGAUUUGGGGGGCGGGGUUUCCAAGUUUAAUUACAUUACAUACCUUACAACACGAGCAAAUUGAAGAGGCACUUUAAGGGCAGGUCCUUUCUCGCGCAAAGCUGGUACUUCAUGCAUUUUUGCACCAAAUAAAAACUGAGCCAAAAAUGACAGCAUCAGAAAUGUAUUCCCCCAUUGAGUGCUAGCACAUGCAUGCCAAACGAUUGGUGUCUAGUUACAAAAUACAACACAGGUAACCAGUUGACAGAAACCUAUGAUUUUACAAGUGGUGAUGCAGACAUGCAGAAACCGAGAAGAAAAGCAUUGAUUGGUUUUGGAGUGCCUUCAAAAAGCUCCCAAACAUGCAAAACUCGACUGGCAUCAUAGCCAUUUGAGCCUAGAAUGGUCAAAUUCCUAUUACAUUUGAAUAUAUUACCAUUCUACUGCCACAAACUUUCCAGCAGCUGCAGUAAAACAAUUGGAACUGGCACUUCUAAUCCACUCUUCUUCCUUACAUGUUCAAUUGAAUUAUAAAAUGAUUUAUACUGGCCAGUCGACUAUAUACUUAGAACAAGUUGUCAUGUCAACCUUUAUGAAGCUAGGCAGACUUUCCAAAAGCAAAUAACUUGCUGAUGACACUUGAAUCCCAGUCAACAAAGCAAGAACCCAACCACAUCAAAUUGGUUAAGUAGAUAUCAGAAACUUAGUCUCAUGAACUGUUUGCUGAUUCAUGUUUCUUAAUGUCAUAGCAAACAGUAAAGGCCAAUGCACAAAUUCUAUUUAAAUGGUUUCCUUGUAAACCUCAUUUCAGAUUAGCACAUACCAUGUUAUCUUUCCCUAUUUCUUCAAUAAUUUCAACUGUAGAACCAUCUUCUGUGGCUAGAAGUAAACAUCCAUUCAUCAAAAAUUUCAUGCUGCCAGUACCUGAUGCCUCAUGCCCUGCAGUGCUGCAUAAAAUCAUGCAUAUUACAUGAGAAAUCCUACAUAUUUCAGAUAAAGUUAAAUCUAAUGGACAACCAAUUAGAAAAGGAAAGAUCACAAGGAAAAGAAAAGGACUUUGAACCAAAGGCCCAACUCAAUCUUCUACAUUCUAUCAUGCAAUACAACCACUUCUACAUUAUAAAAAAAAAUUAAACAAAAGCAGACAAGUAAUCUAGAGAAUGGAUCAGAAAAGUGAAAAAAACAUAGUUGACUAUUAUCAUCUAGAAAGUCAGUUUGUGCACUUACACAAUUAGAGGAAAGUAUUCCAUAUGUUAAGUGAAAUAUAAUUUAAAAAUAUGAUUGGUUACAAAAAACAAUUGCAAUCUUACAAGCCCUUUUGUUUUGACUUUAUUUAUCCCUUUUUAGGAUACUUGGGAUGAACAAUUUAUCAGAAUCAGAAAGGUAGCAAUCCAAACUGACCUUUUAAGCUAGAAUUUAUGGGGUUAAAAACUUCAAAUGGUUCUUGCAACAUUUACAAAUUCUCCAAUGAUUUGGCGCAGGGAAUAUUCAUUUAUCAUCAACUCAAUAAUGAAUUAAAUAAGUUAAAUAGAAGAUAAUUAUGGUUGAGUCUAAGGUUGCAAUCCAAUUGGUGCACCAUAUUAUUUACAGACCUUAUGUGCUGCGAAAGGUCAGCCCCUGGUAUUACUAACUCAGCAACAGAGACAUUGUAAUCAGGUAUAAAAACCUGUAGGAGAUUAUAAACAAGAAACUGAAUCAAAACAAUAGAUAAACAAAACCAUGAAAUAACAGAAGCACAGAUAAUUCAUCAGUUAGUUCCAAAUGAUACUGCGAUCAAACAAGCAGAAGACCAAGAAAAAUAAUCUCCGACAGAUAAGAUGUUUUAUAUUUUUGAUUCAAUACCAAAAACAAUAUGCCUUCUCAAUACAGCAUGUAGGGAAGGGAGGAGGAGAAAAAUUGCAGCGUAAGGGUAUAUAAGUCAGGAUUGAGGCAUGGUGAUCCACACAUACUAUUGAAAAGUAUAGUAAAAAAAACAAUAGAAAGUUACUAGCAUACUAAAUCAAGCAUUUAUAAAUAAGAAAAUAAACUAAUGAGAAAAUAAACAAAUUUCUCUGGCAACAAUUGAGAGCAUAAGAAAGUUAGAAAUAGAAGAGUUUAACAAAAUUUCCACACAAGGAAACUAGUAAUUUAAACUGAGUUAACUGAUGUCUCAUCAGAAGUGGUAUAAGAAAACAGCUGAAUACUAUUAGGAGAAAAUUAUGUCCUAAUGUUAGAAGCAUUAAACUAAUUGGGGGGGAAAAUGCAGGAACUUGAGACUUCUUAAAGAAUAUUCCCUCAAAUUUUUCCCAUUUCCUCUCCUUCCACUUACUCCCCAUCUAAUAAUGAAAAUGCUCUCCAGGCAACUAGAAUCCAACCACUUCUAAGGCCCUCCUUCAACUAGCAAGUAAAUCCAUCAAUAAACAAUUCCAAGGUUGAUAUCUUUUAGCAACUGAAUAAUGCAAACAAAAACAAUCACUCCUUUGGACCAAAAACAAUUCGUUCUCUUUCCAGUUUAAAUGAUGCUAUAAACACAAAAAUCAAACCACCGCUGAAGUGCAUAUCAAGAAUAUUUCCAUAGUUACCACCACUUGCUGCUCGAACAGAAAAAAAAUUGCUUGAUUGGAACCUGACACUUAGGACUACUAUCUUACCUACCUCACCUUAUAGAAUCACUAAACUAAUGAUAGACCUGAUAGACAGUAAUAUCAAUAUUCGUGCAUUUCCAUGCAUCUUGAAGAAUUUUCAUUGAGAAUGAUUAGCAAGACAGAAAUAAUGUCGACCACUAUCAAUAUCAUGGUACAAUGACUUGUUAUGAGGCUUGGAUGCAAUGCCCUGAUGAAAACUUCUUGUGAGGGAACUGGCAUUUUAGCACUCAAAAGGAAUUUGGUUCAUGAUUAUUUUUGGCCUAGCACAAACCUUUCAGCUGAUAAAAAACUGGUUAAAAACCUCACUUUCACCAAAUAAUACAGAAGAUGCUCAUCUGUUCACCUACUUAACACAGACACGCUUUUCACUUACCAACUUCAAAAGAUCACCAACAUCAGGAUCGUUGUUAAUUUUUUCUGCUACAGCAUUGCAGAGUUUGAUGAUCUUCCUGGCAAUUUCAUAACCAGGAGCAGCUUUCCCUCCAAUUAUGCAGACACGGGGGACAACCUUUGUCCUGUCACUCUUCUCCAUAUUCUGCAACAAAAUUAGAAUAACAUAAGCAACCUAUAUCCAAAUAUCAUAAAAUCAUGGUAAAACCAAUCCUCAACAUCUGGAGGAGUACUAUUCAUGUAAAAUAAGCAUGAGCUCUCUGUCAUGAAUCAUGUAAACCAGGAAAACUGGUUCUAACAUGACUUGUUUUAACCAGGCCAUAACUAACAGAAAACAAAGUCCAAAUUGUUGACACACUAAAAUAUUGUCCAGUUGCUCUUAUGCCAUGUAUGGACCAAACCCAGAAAGAGUUAACUGCUGAAGCUCAUGCGUUUUAGUUAUAGCUUAUAGCAGCAAGGCGAUGGGAGAGGCAGACAUCGGGGCCUCAUUUUUAGAGACCGCAAGUGUUCUAAUAGAUUUAACUGAAGAUAAUGGCUUCUUUUGCCCAAGUAGAUUCCAUUCACCUUUAUACAGUCAUAUCGAUGGACGAUGCCAAGUAUAUUGAGUAACUGUCUUUUAUACUCGUGUAUUCGCUUUAUCUGCACAUCAAACAUUGCACUUACACUGACCUGCAAUGAAAAUGUAUGCUGUUAAUGUAAGAUCCCAUGCAAGCUUCUAUAAGAAAUUAAUCUUUACAUGUAAUAAAAGGCACAGUUAGGAGGUAAAUUUUUGAAGAGACUAAAAUGCCUUUUUUUAUUUUUUAUUGUGAAUCUGUGGUUUUUUUUUUCAAUAAAUAAAUCAAGAAUCCUAAAAUAGCUAAAACUGUUUUUUUAUCAUGCGUGUUUUGUUUUUGUUUUUCUAUUUUCUAUUUGCCUAUGAUAACAAUCCUAAUCCUAUAAGAUUUAUUUUUUUUCAGGGUAUAAAAAGAUUCCUUUCCCAAAACUCAGAGUUAUAAUUAGAUAAGAAUUCUAUUCAAUAUACAAAAACAAUAUAAUUAUAUUUUUAUAAAAACAAUACUUUGAAUAUAAUUUAAAAAAUCAGUAUUUGUCUUUGUUAUCAAGGUACUUAAUAUUUUUCUUUGUAUAUUUCUCUUUAUUGUUUUCUCAAUCUUGUUUAUUAUAAUUUCAUCUUGGUAUAUUUGCCUUCUUUUAAUGGUUGCUUGUUAUAAUUUGAUUAUACUAUAUUUAAUUUUAAUUCUUACAUAUUAAAGAUCAUAUAAUGGUUGCUUACUUUCAUAAAUUGAAUUAUGUCUUUGAGAUAUUAUUAUACAUGAUCAUUGAAAAUAAGAUGCAUGUGGUAGAAAUAUUUGUUAAGGAGGGGAAAUUUUUUCAUUGGCAAGAAAAAAACAAUUAUGGGAGAUGAUGUAUUUUUAUUUAGACCUAUAUGAAAAGAUAAAAAAAAGAAGUAAUGAUUAAAGGAGAAAGCUCAAGAAAUUAAUCCGGCAGUUGCCCCUCCUUUUCGUAACCUAGCUUCGCAGCUGUACACUAGAGAACUUAAACAUUACUCUUACAAGGCUAUACAAUUCAUACCUUCACGAUAGUCCCAUUAUCAACAUUGGCAAAGGUAAAACUUUUGUGAUUGGGGGGCAAUGAAUAUAGGUGAAUAUAUAUUAUGCAUAUAAAUCAAAAUUAACAUAAUUUUUAGGAAUUUCUAAUUAAACAAAUAAAUCACUAUAUAUACUAAUUGAAAACUUCUUCUUAAUAUUUAUUGUGAGGAUGCUUUGUUCAUAUUUGUUUCAUAAAAGAAAUGGUACUAAUUAGCUUUACAAUUAAAAGCAUAGCUAAGAAAUCAAUUUAUUUUAAUAAAACAGAUUAAAUCAUGUAUUGGAGAAAGGAGCAGACUUAAGAGAUGAUAAUAGCACUCUAAAUUUCUAAUUUUAUAAAUAUAAUCAAUAAAGAGGGAGAGAGAAGAAUUUAAGGGUAAGUUUGAAAAGAAAAUUAAAAAAAAAGGAGUAACAUGAAAAAUAAAUAAAGAAUCCGAUCCACAUAACAAAACUCAAAGUAUAUAUCUUGAUUUCCUUUUUUCGUUAGAAAGUUACCUAGAUUGCUUUGAAUGUGUUUGCAAGAUUGAAACAAACUAUAAACAAAAUACAAGAAUUAAAAGAAAGUAUUCAAGUAUAAUAAAAAAAAUAUUAAAAUCUGAUUUUUUUUAUUUAACUUAAAUCAAUUCAAAUAAUUUGUAUUUGUAUUCUAAGAAAUUAUAAUUAUAGAAUCCAAAAUCUCUAACAUUGACUUCGACCCUAACUUUUAGGAAAUCUUUUGGCUUUAAUUCAACAUGCAGGCUUUUGUAUAAAUUGAUACCACAUUUUUCACAUCCUGUAUUAACUCUUCAUUUGUUUUUUAGAUAAUAAUAAUAGAAGCUAAAUUAAUUACUUGCAUUAAUCUUUUCUUAAUUAGUUACUAGCAUAAUAUUUGUAUUAAAACAAAUACUAUUAUGUUAAAUUGUUCCAUCUUUUUAUUAGUUGGCAAUUCUUAACAAGCAAAAUUAUUGAAAUGAAGCAAGUUUGUGUUUAUGUUUGUAUGCAAAAAUGGAAAAGAAAACAGAGAUAAAAAUGUUCACUCUUUCCUUAAAAGAUAAAAGAAAAGAAAAGGAGUAAGAGUAAUUAUAAUGAUAAUUAACAGAAUAAAUUACCUUUUCAUUUGAAAUUAACAUUAACCUUUUAUUUAUUCCUAAAAUAUAUACUAUAUUUAUAUAUAGACAAAUGAAUUUUAAUAUACAGUUAUAUGUUAAGUUUUUUUUUUCUUAUAUCUAAGUGAUUUAUUUACAUCCCUCCAAAACAAAGGUAGUUAUAAAUAUUUACUUAUAUUAUUGUGUAAGCAAAAUUAUAUCACUUAUAUCCCUAAGAUUUAAUUAAAUAUAUAUAUAUAUAUAUAAAUUGUUAUUUUUUUAUGCAAAAUUAUAUCACUUCUGACUUGACAAGAUGAUUAAUGUCACGCAUAUAUUACUUUUGCCUAUAUGGUAUCAUUGAUUCUUCUUCAGCUUUUGUUAUUGCAAAUUAGCAAUGUUGUAAUAGAAAAAUGUGCAAUAUAAAGUGAUGUAGGAUGACACAUCUAAAAAGAAAUUGUUACUUGAACAUGAAUGCAUAACAAACCUAAAAUUCCAAUCUUAAGAAAUCACUUUUUAACUUAACAUAAGAAAAGGAUUUUGAAAAUAUGAGAUUAAACCAAAUGCAUGCAAAAUGUUUUAAAAUUUUAGACUUUAGAAAUCUCAUGAAUUGAUAGGGUUCAUCUAGAUUCCAUUAAUAUUUUUUUGAAAAUUGAUUUUGCAUUUUGUUUAUUGGUUCAUGUGAGUUACAAUAUUCAAGUUAUUUAAUUUAUGUUUCGAGAUUUCAUUCCAUCAAUAUAUUUUAUCAAAGACACAAUGAAAUAUUGAAUCAUACUCCUCCUUAUAACAAACAACGACAUAGAGUUACUUGAUUUAUGAUAUAGCAUAGGUUAUUAAUUGUUUAAAUUAAUAGCAAAGUUAAAUUUAUAAAAGAUCAUUUAAUAAAUAAUUUGAAUAAAUAAUUUGAAUAUAGUAUUUUGUUUAUUUAAAAUUUCAUAUUAUUAUCACUUACUCAUAAAACAAAAUAACUUCAUUAAAGAAUUGAUAAGAAAUCUGAUGACAUUUUUUUUAUAUAACAACACUAAGGAUGUUAUUGAAUUAAAGAUAAUUUAAUUAAUUUUUUAGUUUAUUGCAUUAUUUUCAUACAUAACAUCGAUUUUAGUUAUUUGAUACCAAGAUAUCCUUUUAGAAAGACAUUUUAAAAUAACAAACAAAAAUUAAAAUCAUCUAAUCACGUGUAGGCCACGGCAACGCCCAUGCAAAAAAAGUAGUCUUCUAAAAAGAGACAAGGAAACACAAAACCUAAAAAAUUCCUGUAAAGGUUUCGUUUCAAACCUUGACCCCACUCAUUGCUUCAAUGUACUCUGCAAGUCUCAUUUUGUUAACCUUCCUAACCUACAAGAAUAAGAAUAUCACAAAUAAAUCCAUAUGUAAAAGAUUAUUUCAUAGUAACUGCAUGCAUAAAGUUACCAUCCUCCAUUCUUCAUGUAGAUCUGCAUUGGCUGCUUGUUCUUGCAAACCAGCUAAUAAGUCCACAUCACGGAUCCAAGCUUCUGUUCCAAGCCACUUUGAGAUAAGAGCACUUAAACUUGGAUUGCUCACAACAAUCCAGCGACGCUGAGAUAUAAACAUUAAUACCUUGAAAUCCUUUCCAGUAUAAAGGUAAGUAUGAUGGCAGCACCCAAGCAAAGAAAAAGGUUUGAGUAAAUAAGUGAAUCAAAGGUGAUAAUUAAGUUAACCUGUGUUACUCCAUUUGUCUUGUAAUCAAAUUUAUGAGGCCACAGCUCAUAGAAGUCCUGCAAAGAAGUUUCUGAGAGUCAGAGGCCUCAAUGAAUAUCUAACAUGUUUAGAUUUCAAACAAGUGAAGUUUACCUUGAAUACUCUUGUUUUUAGCAAUUCUGAAUGCACUCUAGAAACUCCAUUCACAGUAUGAGAGCAAACAAUUGCUAGGUUUGCCAUUCGAAUACUCUGUCAAACAAUACGGUUGAUUCUCAGCUGUCACAACAACUUUACAAUUCACCACCAGGCUAUGCAUAUAGAAGAGAAGUGAAAACUACCAAAAAAAGAACAAAAAGAUUUCACUACCAAACCACCCAAAAUGGUAAAAGAGUCCCCAAGGCAUCAAUCUUACCUUCAGUAUCUCAUUUUGCACAAAAAUACAUGUGCGCAGAGAUAAAAAAAGAAUAUGAGAUGAUGAGAGAGAGAAAGAAAGG
rnacentral:lncRNA from 1 species